rnacentral:rRNA from 1 species
CCUACGUGUGGCAGCAGUGAGGAAUAUUGGUCAAUGGGCGCGAGCCUGAACCAGCCAAGUAGCGUGAAGGAUGCCUGCCCUACGGGGUGUACACUUCUUUUAGAAAGGAAUAAAGUGAGGCACGUGUGCCUUUUUGUAUGUACUUUAUGAAUAAGGAUCGGCUAACUCCGUGCCAGCAGCCGAGGUAAUACGGAGGAUCCGAGCGUUAUCCGGAUUUAUGGGGUUUAAAGGGAGCGUAGAUGGGUUGUUAAGUUCGUUGUGAAAGUUUGCGGCUCAACCGUAAAAUUGCAAUUGAUACUGGCAGUCUUGAGUACAGUUGAGGUAGGCGGAAUGCGUGGUGUAGCGGUGAAAUGCUUAGAUAUCACGAAGAACUCCGAUUGCGAAGGCAGCUUACUAAACUGCCACUGACAUUGAUGCUCGAAAGUGUGGGUAUCAAACAGGAUUAGAUACCCUAGUAGUC